GUGUGUGAGCGAGGAGGGGUGUGUCUGAAAGGGUGUGUGAGCGAGGAGGGGUGUGUCUGAGAGGGUAUGAGACUAAGAAGGAGUGUGUCUGAGAGAAGGUGUGUCUGAGAAGGGGUGUGUCUGAGAGGGGUGUGUCUGAGAAGGGGUGUGUCUGAGAGGGUAUGAGACUAAGAAGGAGUGUGUCUGAGAGAAGGUGUGUCUGAGAAGGGGUGUGUCUGAGAGGGGGUGUGUCUGAUAUGGGGUGUGUCUGAGAGGGGUGUGGCUAAGAGUUGCAAGAGUUAUCAAACAUUAAACAGUUAUCUCUCUCCAAACAAAACAAAAUAUAAAAGAGGCAGAAAUUCACUUCCUCAUGAUCAAAUGUU
ensembl:lncRNA